rnacentral:rRNA from 1 species
UGGGUGCGAUCAUCCCANCACUAAA